rnacentral:ncRNA from 1 species
AUGGGCAGGCAAGAGACAACCUGGCGAACUGAAACAUCUUAGUAGCCAGGAGAAAAGAAAACAAAAGUGAUUCCCGUAGUAGCGGCAAGCAAAAUGGGAGCAGCCUAAACCGUGAAAAUGGGGUUGUGGGAGAGCAAUACAAGCUUUUGUGCUUCUAGGCGAAGCAACCUGAAUGCUACACUUCUAGGAACUCAUGUGUCAAUCACUUUCAUUCUUCUCGUUCAUCAAUAGUGUGUUUGGUUCCAUACCUAU